AGGAGGUCGAGCGCCGCGUUGAGGUAAACGUCGAUCUUGUGCACGCCGUUCCGGAUAGUUUUCAGCGUCAUCCUCCAGUCUGGGGUCUGCGGCGCCUCCUGGCUCCGGGCCGCCGGCGGCCGCGGGCCCACCCAGGCACCCGCCAUCAGCAGCGGCAGCAGCAGCAGGGCGCGGGCCAUGCCCGAGGAGCCGCGCCCCGCGCCGCCGGGCGCUCGCUAAGCCCCCGCCGCGCGGCCGCAGCGCUCCGCACGCACGGCCCGGCCCGCCGCCAUCGGCCCCGCGGGCGCCGCCCCUACGGCUGGGCGGGACUGCGAGCAGGGCGCGGCCUGUUGGAGAAGGCGGCCGGCGUCCGCUCCUGGCCCGGCGCUGCGGUGUGGGGUGCUGGGAGCGGAGCUGCUCCGGGAUCUUUCCACGUGCGAGCGAUUCGCUUUCAGGUGAGGCAGGGUGGAACCACACGGGAAUCGUUCUAAUUUCUGCAACGAAAGCCUUGUUUUAAGACGUGUGGAAUUCCUCAAAAGACGGACAGAGGGAUUUUAGGACACAGGUAACUGCAGGGGACGGGAAAUAUAAAGAACAUGGAAAGGCUUCCGGAUCUGCAGGCGGGCGCGAAAGUACCCGGGUUUCCAGACACUGGGAGACCAGUAUAUUGUUUUCUGUGAAAUGGAGAAACGCCUCUGAUCAUCCUUGUUACUUCUUUCUCAGAAAGAUGAGAGGACUGGAACUUGCAGAUACAGUCCCCAUCCAGAAACCUUGCAUUUAUCGCCAGCCUUGAACAUAUGCUCUGACCAGGGGACGCAGGCAGGUGUGCUGUAUUUCAAGGAGCACUCUCCUUUUCCAUGACCUUUCAGCUCCAGCAGAGCGAUGUCAUUUUCAUAAGUUGCAGCAUCAUACUUCUCAUGGAUUAUCAGUUGCUUUAGUCUGUAAGUGUCUGUCUCUCUGUCAUACUGUAUUGUAUCCAACAGCCCAAUCCAGACACGGUAUUGAUGAACUCGAGUUGCUCUGGAAAAGGAGCCAAUGAAAUAUGUUUUGGUACCUCACACAAGCACUGUAUGUUUCAAUUACUCAUAAAUUUUUGCAUUUUAUCAAAGUUUAUGUGGAAUAAAUAUUCAUAUUAUACACGUAUAGUUUCUUUCUGGACUUGUAUGUCGCAGUUGUUCUGAAGGAGGUAGAAGGCUGGUGACACUUAUUGCUGAGUCCUGAAGCUAAUACAGAAAGACAGUACUAAAGGCCAGUGUGUUUAGUGCCCUCACAAAGAGAAAGCAAAGCUUAUGUCUCUGAUAUCAGAUGAAAGAAGAAUGGGCAAAUACACAUGGAACACUGGGCUCGGCAGGUCUUUCCUGCCCACUCCUGCUGGCUCUGGGGAAUAGGUGGCACCAGGGACAUUCUUGGGGGACAGGCACUAGACCUCCCCAGUGCUGAGAGGAGGUAAUUCGUAAUUACUUUUUUGCUCACUGACAAAAUGCUUUGUCUUUGAAUCCCUCCCACUGUUAAUGUGAGCAAAUCAGUGAUUUUAGUUGUGUUAUUGAAUGGGCAAGUAAGAAUUAGCAACCAAGUAGCCGAGAAGAGCAAUAAUGCACAGAUUCAUCUUUUCUACUUUGCAAAGAAAUCAUUUCUCAGGUUGUUGCUUUUACCUGACACAGUGUGCAGCAGUCAGAACCCAACAGCCACCAAUAUAAACCCCUCCACAGUACACUGUUGCACCUUCAGUGCCAGUGUCUUUAAUUGCCACUUGCCAAGGGAAUUCACCCUAUUAAAAUGACAGAAACCCAAAUAAUAUGAAAUCAUCAUUGUGCUAUUUUUUGUGCAUAAAGGGAAACACAAUAUCACUUCAUCUCCUUGACUUAAUCUGCUAUUAAGAAGUUGUCUGUAAUCUGGGCUCUGACAUAAAAGCUCUGUAUUCUAAACUACAGUAACGUUGUUGUCUUCUGACAUUAUGCAGUGUCUCCCUCCCCGCAGCUUUCUGUCAGGAAACUCCUAAAAAAACCAGAUGGAGGAUCUGACCUGGUAUGAUCAAACGUUACAUUUAUGACUAUAAUUAUCAUACAUAGCUAUAGUAUUAAGUAUUUUGCUGGAUUAUUUUCAACACAUACUUGCACUGUAAUGCUGUAUUUUGUAGCUUGGUGUUUUACCUUAUGAACUGUGCUUCUAUUUAUAUUCAUUCAGUGCAUUGUCACUACUAAUGUAAAACAUGAAAUUAAUGUAACUGAUUUUGUUAUUUCCGUACAUUUUAACAGAAGGACAAUAAUAACCAUUUAAAUUGUUACUGAAUGAACACAUGAGCCUAUAUUUGUAAGGUCUGGUUGUGUCUGUGUGUGGGGGGUUAUUAUUAUUUUUUACCUUUCUUGCAGUCUGUCCACCUAUGAUUCUUUUCCGUCGAGUUAAUGUGUGAUUUACAACACCGCAGUUUAUUUGGGGAAGGAAUGUCUUUGCCAGUUUUCUUUCUUUAACAAAAAGGAAGAAUGUGUCUCAGAAUUCAAGUAUUCAUUCUCUCUAUUUGGAGACAGACUUAUCUUUACCUUGAAAUCAUGAGUGCUGUGAGUAUGCAAGUGGCUGAAGUAGCAGGAAAGCAAAAGACCCAGAAUUGUUACAUCUAUUUUUGCUUUGAAAAUUACUUCUGUCUUAGCAUCACAAUAUUUCUGUUUAUUUUUCAUUACUGACAGCAUUCAGGUGAAUAAUUUCAAAGCAGUCGCCGUAGACUUGCUUAGAGUUUACCUCUAUCCGUUGCUAAUAUGUACAGAUGUGGAUCCUGAGGCAGGAUUAAUUAUUAUUGUGGUUGAGAUUAGUGGAAAGCUAGUCAAAUAGUUAAGCCCCAGAGUGUGUACUACUAAGCCACAAAGUCCAUGUAUCUGAGUGUUGCGAAUCUGGCCAACUGGCUGGUAGUUAGAAAGCCACUAAAAAGAGGGUAUACGGUGGUUUGUGGGCCGUUACUUACCUGCAUCCAUACUGUGAUUUUCCUCAUGUUUUGGUUUGCCUGUAGUGGAAUAAUAGAAUACUAAGAACAUUUACAAAUAUUUAUAUUGUUCUGUUACUUGAAUAUUUGGUUGUGUACCAAAAUUAUGGUACAUUUUCAACUGGAUAGGUGCAUAACAUUUCGCAUAGACAGAAAUACUCUGUAAGCAUUGUGCCUGCUGUUUUCUUUUUCCUAGGCACUCAUUGCUGCCAUAGCUUACAAAUGACUGGCAUCCAGCAGAUAUUGAUUUACAACUACAUGAUAUCUAGUCUUCUUUUCUUGUCCAGAGGACCAUUCUGCAAAGAAACCCUGUGAAAUGGCCUCCUUUGUUUUUUGUUUUUUUUUUUAAGUCUCUAAAGCGAUAGACUGCUCUCCUCUACCAGGAAACACCAGAAAUUCCCCCUCCUGCCCCGUCAAUCUUUUGGAGCUUUCUAAAGCCCAAAGGAGCAUUAGGUAAGAAGGUAAGAGGAUAUAUAUUUUUUUAACUUCCAAUUUAGAUGCUGCUGUUCUGUACUCUGUGCCUCCUUUAACAGGGUAAGGGAGGGUAUUCAACACCAGAGGUAAACUAAAUGCUUCCUGAAUCUGGUUUGUCAGCUUUUAUUCAGAGAAAAUACCCAUUGAAUUCACUUCCUAAUUGGAGGCUGAGGAUUGGCUCUAUUCUCAUGUUACUGACAGUAAUGUUUACUUUUAGGGUUCAGUUUACCUUUACCAAUUACUAUGUACCGAAAAUGUUUACUUUUUGGCUUUAGACUUUGUCUCUUAUCUAAAAUAUUCUAAGUUCAAAACAAAACAAGGUAUUUUCAGUGGUAAGGAGAAUAGUACAGAUGAACUAUUAUAUUAACAAACUAGUUAAAUUAAUUCCUUAUACACAAGGAGAAUAUUCCUGCCUGCUGCAUCUACAUUUUCUUCCCAAAAACAGGAUACCGGUUUGAUAGAUGUCCAUGCAUGCAAAGGUUAUAAUCUACUUUAAGCCUCAUAAAACAACAUCUGUUUUUUCUAUCCUUUAGUUUUUUAGUAGAAAGGGAAGGAAAAGUAUGUAACCUUUUCUUAGUCUCCUAGUAUGUGUAACAUAACAUCAGAAAGACUUAACUCUUGCAUGCAUUUUGGUUUUGCUAAUUUGAUAAAUGACUUAAUAACAUGCAUUGUGUAGUCUGUAGGUUUAAUUUAGCAUAACAAAAGCAAAAGAAAGAAAAACACAUCUUAGAAGGAAACCUGAACAGAGAGCUUGAGCUUCAUCCUCUCCUGUUAGGCAGUCAACUUCUUUGUUACACACAUUCUUAUUUGGAAUACAGAUAUUUGAUCGACAGUGGAAACUGUUGUUUCUGCAUUCUGUAAUAUAAAAGAAGUAAAAUGGUAAAGCACAGGACUAUAUGAUUCAGUGACCUCACGUAUUUAGAGGGCUUCUUAAAAUAUAAACUCGAUAAAAUAUCCAUGGUAUGGAUACUUUAAGGGACUUUGCUAUUUAUAAAUAGAUCCUGAAAGUAGGGUCUGUAAGUGUAAAAUGAAGUGAAUACUUGACUCUGCUCAUUUUUCUGUCUUGGUGUUUUAAAAUUUAUGAGUUUAAGAAAGAUCUUAUUUUAGUUUAAGGUAGUUCAUUGGAAAAACAACAACAACAACAACAACAUGGUUUUGUUUGAUUACUGUCAGUUUUGCCCUACUGAAAAUACAUUUAAUUCUGCCUAAUACAGUUGGGUUUUGUUUCUUUGUUUUUGUUUGUAUCAACAGCCUCCUAAGUCUCAGUAUUUUUUUUUAUUAUCAGAAGAAAUCCAGAUCCUCAGAGAUCAGUUGCUUGCUUUGGGAAAUUGCAUUAUUUAUAUUAUUACAAUUAUCUAACUGUAGAAUCAUAGAACUUUUUUGUGCUUUCCUACACAGAAACUAUAGUUUUCUUACCUUAAUACUGUGACUUUGCAAUAGAGACUUCAUUGUUACAUCACUGUAAAAAUUAAUUCUUUGGAGAUGGUUUGUUGCUGAAAUGUUUUUUAAACAGCUGAGAGAAUAAACUAUUACCUUUACAACACAGUUCAUCACUUAAGUCUCCGCAGUCAUUUAUACCGUCACAGGUUUUAGUCACAGAAAUGCACUUGUCAUUUGCACAAUGGAACUCACCAGCUGAACAUUCUGUACAGUGAGAUGAAAAUGAAGUUAGUAUAGAAAUGACUGUAGGUUCACAACUGCCCAAGGAAAUACUCAGCAUACACAUUUUAUUCAUUCGACAGAUUGGCCUCUCAAAAGUAGGCAUCUUAAAGCCUAGUUAAGUAAAUAGGGAUCUUUUUUUUUUUAUUGUUUUCAUUGCCUCCUCUUCAAACUUUCAAUGUGACUCUGUAUUUUCUUCCUCCAACUUUCAGUAACCUGGCAAAAGGGAACUUUGUUUCUUCCAGACAAGGACUAAAGUAGAAACAUUAGCUUCAGUUGAUCUCCCAGAGCAAGAACAAAAGAAGUAGGUUGUCACCUGUCUCCUCAUCAGUUAAACUAGGAGAGACAAGAGUUGUGGGAUAUAAUAUGCUUUGGGAGGGAUGGGGGAACAGCCAGAACCAAGGGUGAAAUUUGUCCACUUUUGGGUAGUAUCUGUCAAGAUAUUCUAGGAGCAACAGUGCAUUAUUUUCCAAAGCUGUAAAUUCAGGAUUGCCUCAGUUGUCUUAAAUGUUUGCAAAAGGAUUAUUUAAAAAAAGAUAAAAAUUAAAAGAUUUCAUUGAUUUCAUUAGUGGCUGAGAUUUCAGCAGAAUAGAUCCUCAAUACAUAUAUUUCAAAUAAACUUAACAUGAAGAGCUGUAAGUAGAUUUAAAGCCAAAAAAACCCUACUAACCUCGGAGAGUUUUCUGGCACUGGAGGCUAACAAAUCCCUCAUUACUAGCUCUUAAUUUCUUCUCUAUGUAACAUUCAGCAAGACUUGUCUCUAGGCCUCUGCAAGUUAUUUGGAAGCAGUGUGAUGGUUCUGUGAUGUUGUAGAUGGUGUGGUAAUAUUCAGCACCUCUGUAAAGAUAAAAAUAAUAACAACAAAUUCUCUAAUUUCACAGUGGAUUGCCCUCUCUUUUUAUUGUUUAGAAUUUAUGAUUUUCCUCAGUGUUAAAGAACUUUGGAUGUGGCUAAGGAAAUAAAAAAAAAAAAAACCAAACAACAGAUUUCCCAUGGAGUGGCGUAAGGGUAAGGAGGAAAGUAGGAGAUAUUUACUUUGGAAGAAAAGGUUCAACAAAGUGCAUCAUAGAGCUGGCACUGAAUAUGUGACAUUCUUAUCUGUUCCUGUGUAUGGUGAUAGAUAGAAACCAUCUUGCAUGAGGCUGAGUACCGGUGGUAUCAUCAAAACCAAUGCAUAUUGAGGAAGCUUAGGCCAUUGCGAGAUUGGCAUUUAUUAAACACCUGAAUGCAAUCCUCUAACAGUGUGUCUCUCUUCUCUCUUAAGAAAAUAAGGAAUGAAUAAAUAAAUAAUUGGAGAGACUUGCAGUGGGAGUCAAGGGCUGAAUGCUCUGUCCCAGAACAAACCUCUCUCUAUGCUAUCUAAAGAGGUAUGAAUCAGGACUGGGAAAUAUUUAAUUCUCAUCUACAGGGGACAGAUUUAGGCACUGUGGUAGCAUUCUUAGUUUCUGUGUAGAGUUGGAGAGGCAGUCCUAUUUGGCUCAGUUAUGCUAUUGCUUAAAAUGAUUAUGUACAGGAUAUAGAGUUGAUUCUUUAUGAUGACCUCAACAUGUAACUCAGAUCAUUGGUGUGGUCUUGGGAAAAAGAACAAGCUGUUUGUGGCCUCAGCUGUUUCUGGUGGGCAAAGCAAGCAAUGGUGGCAGGUCAGGAGAUGAAGAAAAAGAGCUGUGUUCUGGUUCUUGUUAGUCUGGCUGCUGCGAGUGGCAAAACACAGCUGUACCGUUUGGCUAGCCAGUUUAAGAAACUUUUCUCUAUAUGCAAUUCAUUGAUCAGAGCCACCUGGGGAUUGUCCAUCUAUGCACUUUCCCUUAUACAGACCUGAGAGAAAACUCAUCUAUCAGACUUCAACUUUAUUUUAAAAGUAAAAUAUUAAUCAUUUGAACAGUUGUUAUUUGUACGAAAAUGCAGAAAUCUGCUCUGGCUUUUGCUUUCAAGAAGCUUUACUGUAACCGAUAUAUUGUUCAUGAAUUUUCUCUUAAUAGUUGGCUGACUGACUGACCCUUAUAUAAGCAUCACUAUUUGUUCACAUCCAUUGCAGUCACAGAGAGAGAAAUUCCCUGAACUUACAAUUCAAAGCCAAGGUGUCUGCAGGCCACAUUUGCUUCAUUCAUUGUCCACAUACUGUCACAUACAAAAAGGUCCUCAUUAUUCACAGGUUUUACUUGGAGCAAAUGUGAAUCAUUGUAGACCAAGGAGAUUUUAAAUGUUUCUAAAAAAAAAAAAAAGAAAUUAAAAAAUUCCCUUAUAAAAUUGUAUUCUAUGGAUGUAUGUAGUGGAAAGACAGCACAGGAAGAAACCAGACCUAAAGUAUGUUGUUGGCAUCCAGAGUUCAUAUGGAAUGAACAGUAGGUUGGGGAUCAGAAGCUUAAGGUAUUACUGACAUUAUGGCUUUGAGCCUGCUGCUUUUUCAAAUAUACCAGCUUCAGAUCAAAUGAAGAUAACAGUUCCUGUCCUGGAAGCAUACUUGAAGGUCUUCUGAGGAAAGGUUGCAUCUUAGUGUAAGACUUUUGUUAGAGGACUUUCAGUAAUCAAACAAAUGAAUGACUGAUACCUUUUGAAAAAAAGAGAUAUUAAUACCUGUGGACAUGCAUUUUCCCUUGUUCAGAAACUUUGCUUCGGAACGUUGACACUCAAAGCUCUUUAGGUGGCAAUAAGUAUAAAAGUUCUUUCCAGUGGUAGAACAAACUGAAGUGCCGUUCUUUGGACACUGGUAGGGAAGCUUACAGAGGCAUUUUCCCUCCACACAUCGUUCCCAUGGGUGACAAAAAACUUUCUUACAGGACUUGUGUGUGUAUUUGUUGCUUAAACAUUCUUCUAUAAGGUAAGUGUCUCGCUCAGCUGGCUGACUGUCUUGCUCAACUGGCUGAGCAGGCUCAACGUAUGAAGACUGUUCUUCUGUAUCAUUAGAUGAUUCAUUCUGCAAGGCACAAAUUAAAAAAAAAUGCCAAAACCAAAUAGUGAACAGGACUGGAGAUGGCACCAGCAGUUCUGCAGAUCCCUUGCAUACGUCAGCAGAGUGAUUGGGAGCCUUUUCCUAUCUUGUAAAAAUGGAAGUGCUAAAUAUCAUCUAUAGUGUUUAUCCCCUUGUCUUUGAGAUAUCCACCUUUCUGUUUUUCUGGAUUUUUUUUCUUUUUUCUUUUUCAGAUCAUUCCCCUGGUGUGAUUUUCACUCUUCCUGGUCACCCACAAGCUAUACUCUUCAAAAAUCAGCUGAAGUGCACAACAGAUGAUAAACAUUUCAAGCCAGUGGUUUAUAGCACACCACAACAAUGGAACUGUGAGCAAAUUAAAAUAUAAGGGGACUUCACAGAAUCACACAGAAUGGCCUGGGUUGGAAGGGACUUCAAGGAUCAUGAAUCUCCAACCCACCCCCCUGCCCCCCCGGCACUGGCAGGGCCACCAACCUCUACAUUUAAUACUAGAGCAGGCUGCCAAGAGCCCCGUCCAGCCUAGCCUUGAACACCUCCACGGAUGGGGGAUCCACAACCUCUCUGGGCAGCCUGUUCCAGCACCUUACCACUCUCACAGUAAAGAACUUGCCCCUGACAUCCAACCUAAAUCUUCCCUCCUUCAACUUAAAACCAUUUCCCCUUGUCCUGCUAUUAUCUCCCCUUUCAAAGAAUUGACUCCCCUAACUUGGCUUAAACACCAGAAAAAUGAAAUUAAAAAAAAAAGAGUAGCAACUUGAUUUUUUUUCAAGACCUUUUUAUUGUCCCAGUUGACCCAGUUGACAUAACUAUAGCCAAUAACUACUUAGAAACAAAUAAAUCUAAAAUUGAAGAUGUGUUUCAUUGCAAGUAACAAGUAUUAAGUAUCUUCAACAAAUGUGAAAAUUAAGUGCCCUUCCCAGUCUGUUUUGUUCCCAUAUCUUGGAUGGCAGUGGGUUUGCAGUGUGGUUUCUGGUUGUUGUGGACUGCAAGGAGUGCUCCUUAUCCCUCCAUCUGACCAUCUGUCUCUAGGUGAGUGAUAACACCUAUCCUGGCAGCUCUCUGGUUAUUCCAUUGCUGGCUGAGUGCUUUUGCUCACUAAGAUGUGUGUGCAGGGGGAAUGUUGAAAUGUGAAAAAUAUGUAGCUAGACUUUGCAUAAAGAUGAGAAAGAAAUGUCAGUUGUCAGAUCGGAUUUAUCGGCUUUGAGUGCAUCCACUGAAUCAACAGAGCCAAAGUUUAAAGUUCUCGUGAAGAAAUCCUGGCCUAAGUAAAGGCAGUGGGAAUGUCGCCAGGGCUGAAUUUAUUCCGAGCCCCUCCCACCCUUUUAAGGGCUGUAUAAUCUUAAUAAAUUCUUCCUGUUCUUCUCAGGUCAGUAGAAUCCUAUGCAUUAUCUUUAGAUUUACAUACCAAACUCUGAGCCAGGCCCGGCUUGGCAUAACUCCUGUAUUGCACUAGAUGUUUCUCUUUAGCUCUGACAGAAUAGCAACAAAAGGGGCUGAUCUUUACCUACGGGUUUUUCUUGGAAAGCUCAGGCUAUGCUGAACAUGGAGCCCAUCAGGACUCCUUGAGAGGCUUUUGCCAGAAGAGAUUUUACAACAAAAGCUUUCUGAGCUGAGCCACACUUGCAGGUUGGGUUUAGCAUAGCAUCCCGAUUAAAAGAUUUUCCAAAAGGCUGUUAAUGUAAACCUCAGAUAGAACCGAUAUACAGAGGAGAAACAGCAAGAUUCACAUUUUCAAGCUGGACUAAAACAAAUGUACGAAAUGCAGAUGCUGCAAAAGGAAAUUAAAAAAGACUUUGUUUUUAUAAUAAUAAAUUGUUUUAACUGUUUGCUGUUGGUUGGUUUGUUUUUAAAAUAAGGGGAUACCACAAUAAAAUAAGUUCUUACCUGUGCUCGACAGAAAGAAAAGAGAGAGAAGCAAACCAAGAGAACUGCAACCACUCUCAUGAUGAGGUUUUAUGUCUUUGUAGAGAAAUUCCCCUGGCCGGGACUUUCCCAAUUGCCAGUCGUUAGGUUUGUGUUUAAUUUUUAACCUUUGGUAAAACACUCUGAAGUGGACUCAGAAACAACUACGGGAGCCUUAGAUAUCAACGGAUGAGUCUGCUCUCUCCACACGGAUCCCACCCCAUUUAACCUGUUUUACUGUAAAUAGAGACCAAAGGGAAGCCCUUGAAGCCAACGGUUACAAGGGAGUGCUCAGCAGGGUCUCUCGCUCCCCGCCUGCUGCCAACGCAGACCGAUGGAGCCGCGGGCCGAUCUCCUGGCAGCAGGCACCCCGCUCUGCAGGGAGCUGUUAGGGCAGGUGCGUUCUUAGGUGAGAUACGUGUGUCUGUAUGCAGGCAGGCAAACGGAACGGAUCAACUCCACUAUCUCCGUGCGAGAGCGUAACCGGCGGAGCCUUGCUCAGAGAACUGUUGGGGCAGUGGCCAAUCCACUGCAUCCCACCUGCGGGCGGUUUCCGGGAGAACCGCGGUCUCGGCCGGCACAACGGAACGGCUCCUGCGA
rnacentral:lncRNA from 1 species